CAGCCACACUGGAACUGAGACACGGUCCAGACUCCUACGGGAGGCAGCAGUGGGGAAUAUUGCACAAUGGGCGCAAGCCUGAUGCAGCCAUGCCGCGUGUAUGAAGAAGGCCUUCGGGUUGUAAAGUACUUUCAGUGGGGAGGAAGGCGUUAAGGUUAAUAACCUUGACGAUUGACGUUACCCGCAGAAGAAGCACCGGCUAACUCCGUGCCAGCAGCCGCGGUAAUACGGAGGGUGCAAGCGUUAAUCGGAAUUACUGGGCGUAAAGCGCACGCAGGCGGUCUGUCAAGUCGGAUGUGAAAUCCCCGGGCUCAACCUGGGAACUGCAUUCGAAACUGGCAGGCUAGAGUCUUGUAGAGGGGGGUAGAAUUCCAGGUGUAGCGGUGAAAUGCGUAGAGAUCUGGAGGAAUACCGGUGGCGAAGGCGGCCCCCUGGACAAAGACUGACGCCUCAGGUGCGAAAGCGUGGGGAGCAAA
rnacentral:rRNA from 1 species